CUCUACCUCAUUAAGGUCACCCAGCCCUAUCAGUUCCACUCUCCAUCUUGUCAAAGUUGCCCCAGCCCUAUCAGUCCGCUCUCUACCUCAUUAAGGUCACCCAGCCCUAUCAGUUCCACUCUCCAUCUUGUCAAAGCCGUCCUGGCCCUAUCAGUCCGCUCUCUACCUCGUUAAGGUCACCCAGCCCUAUCAGUUCCACUCUCCAUCUUGUCAAAGUUGCCCCAGCCCUAUCAGUCCGCUCUCUACAUCAUCAAGACUACUCCAGCCCUACCAUUCUGCUCUCCAGUGGGAUUCCUGCUACAGUCGUCCUACCAACCACAUAAUCAAACCCAGAUUACCUUUUGUCUACCUAGUGCCCCAGCACUCUGGGACUAGCCCUGGAAUUUCCCAAACAAAACACCCCUGCCUUUGCCUGGCUACCAUUCUUGUCUCUGGACAUCUCCCCCAUGAGACACUGAGUUCCUUUAACUUUCAAAGCUGCAGGCUAAACUUCUGGUGUAUUUAAAAGAAAAGCAAACUGAACAUAACAAAUAUCUGGUUUCACGGACAGUCCUUUUUCUGUUCUAUUACACAGACACAGCUGCCCAUCUGUCUGCUGUUUGUUAAGCUCAGAAUAAAAAUGAACUUUAGGAUCUAGGCCCCUUGUAUUGGUAGCUCCAGUCAGGGUCUGGCUUAUGGUAGGUAUUUAAUAAAAAAGAAAAA